AUGAUGUCCUUGAGCUUCUUCCGGAGGCCCGCGGUGACGGAGGUGCGGGUGCGGUCGAGCGUGGUGCCCUCCUGGCAGCCCGCGGAGAGCCUGCGCUGCGCGGCGUUGGCGGCGUCCAUGUCCGCGAGCGCGCGCUGGAUCCCGCGCGCGCGGCCGAGCACGGCGACGAUGUCGGCGUUGACGCGGACCCGCAUGGCGCGCAGCGCGUCGGGCUGGUGCAGCGACUUGCCCUCCUCGUUGGCGGCGUGGAGGCGGGCGAGCGCGUCGCGGAUGGCCGCCAUCUCCUCGCGGACCGCCUCCGCCUCCUUGAAGAAGCCCUUGAGGCGCUCGUCGGUGGCGCCGCCGCCGCCGGCCUGGGUGAGCUCGGUCUCGUCGCCGCCCGCCUCGAGGUCCUUCAUGGCCGCCUUCUUCAGGUCGACGUAG
rnacentral:rRNA from 1 species